rnacentral:rRNA from 1 species
GUCCGAUAGCGCACUAGUACCGCGAGGGAAAGCUGAAAAGUACUCUUAACAGAGGGUUAAAAGACUUGAAAUCUAACAGUUACAGAUGGUUACUGAUUUAUUCACUUUUGUGAAAUAGAUUUGUAACGUACGUUUUGAAGAACGGGCCAAGGAGUUUAUUUAUAUGGCAAGGCUAACUUUUUUAAAGGUAACCGAAGCGAAAGCAAGUAUGAAAAUGCUAUAGUCAUAUAGGUAAGACCUGAAGCCAGGUGAUCUAUUCAUGGGCAAGGUGAAGUCUUUCGAAAGAAGGAUGGAGGCCUGAACCGUUGUUGUGUACAUGCACUUGGAUGACCUGUGAAUAGGGGUGAAAAGCCUAUCUAACUUGGCGAUGGCUGGUUCCUGCUGAAAUAUGCCUUCGUAUAGUCUUGUUUUGCUUGUUAACGGUGUAAAGUACGGAUAGAAUUUGCAGGGGCUAAUGCUUACGGAAUUCUUUCCAACUCAGAAGCUGUUAACUGCUUAUGACAAGAAACAGGGGCAGUAUGUAAGAUACUGUUCCGAGAGUGGAACAACACAGACCAAAGUUAAGGUCCUAAAAUGUAUAUUAAGUGUAUCGAAAGGUGUCUUGAACCUAAGACACUAGGGAUGUAAGCUUAGAAGCAGCUAUCAUUUAAAGAAAGCGUAACAGCUCACCUAUUGAGGUUCAGGGCCCUGAAAAUGGACAGGGCUAAAUAUACUACCGAUACUUUGGAUAUCUCCUUUAGGAGAUUAUGGUAAGCAGGCGUGGUUUUUGUACAGAAGGUUUUGCGAGAGCAAGGCUGGAACGAAAACUAAUGAGAAUCUUGGUAAUAGUAGGAUGUGAUUUUCCUGAGAAUGGAAAAUGUCGAAAGAGCAAGGUUUCCUUGGCAAUAUAUGUUAGCCAAGGGUUAGUCAGCACCUAAGUCGCCCCUUAACUGAAGGCGACGAUGGACAACAAGUUAAUAUUCUUGUACUAAUUAAAUUUUUUGUAUUUAAUUGCUUUCGGAUAAGCGAGCACUCGAAAGAGUGUUUUCAUAAAGAAAUUUGUCGAGGGUAAUCCUUAGACGCAAAUGAACUUAUGGAACAAAAUCUCUGAUUCCAAGAGCCAGUGAAAAGUUAUAUGCUUAACGGAUUUAAUUAGCUGUACCCACAACCGGCACUGGUGCUCUAGCUUAAUAGGCUAAGACAUGAAAGGUAAAACCGAUUAAGGGAAUUCGGCAAAUUGGCCCUGUAGCUUCGGCUGAAGGGGUGUCUAUUUUUGUUUCACAGUUAAAUGUAAAGCAUUAAUAGAUCUCAGUAACAAGGAUGGCCCGACUGUUUACCAAAAACGUAGCCAAGUGCUAAUCUGAAAAGACUUGUAUACUUGGUGAGACCUGCCCAGUCGUGGUGUGUCAAACUCCUUUUCAAGGGAGCUAAGCCCCAUGAAACGGCGGGGGUAACUAUGACCCUCUUAAGGUAGCGUAAUACCUUGUCGUAUGAAUUGCGACUUGCAUGAAUGGUUUAACGAGGUUGUCGCUGUCCCUAAUCGGAGCCUUCUGAAAAUACCUCGUGGUGAAAAGGCCACGGACGCCUAGUGGGAAGCUAAGACCUUGUGGAACUUUACUGCAACUUGUUGUUGUGAUUUUAUUAAAAAUGCAUAGAAUAAGUAGGAGUGUUGAAGUUAUCAUUUCGGUGAUAAUGGAGCGACUGUGUAAUACUACUCAUCCUUGAUAAAGUUGCUUACUCUUUAGAGGACAGCAACAGGCGGGCAGUUUGACUGGGGCGGUGCCCUGUCGAAAAGAUAUCGAUAGGACCCAAAGACAAGCUCAUCCAGCUUGGAAAUCUGGAGUUGAGUGCGAAGGCAAAAGCUUGUCUAACUGUAUUCUGAACAGCAAAGAAUGCAGAGGUGAAAGCCGGGCUUAGUUAACCCACAUGCUCUUUUAAUAGGAGCUGUGUCUGAUAGAAAAGUUACCCCAAGGAUAACAGGCUUGUCGCGCCCGAUAGUCCGAAUUGACGGCGCGGUUUGGUACAUCGCUGUCGGCUCUCCCUAUCCUGCGCGUGCAGAAGCGUGCAAGGGUGUCGGAGUUCACGCAUUAAAAGGGAUCGUUAGCUGGGUUAAGAACGUCGUGAGACAGUUUGUAUGAUAUCUACUAGGUGUGUUAUUGUCUGAGUGGAACGAGCUCGUAGUACGAGAGGAACCAAGUUCGGGUGCCGCUGGUGAGCAGUUGUUAUGAGCAGGCUGCAUAGCUACGCACUAAACGAAUAAGAGCUGAAAGCAUCUAAGCUCGAAGUCGUCCGCAAAACGAGACAAUUAAAGCCGUCAUAGAAGAUGACGUUGAUAGAGUUGCUGUGUAAGAUUCAAGCUUCGGCGAGAAUUUCAGCAGACAACUACUAAAAGCUUCACUUAUGUUUU